GGCCUGAUGGCGCAGUGGUAAGCGCGUCCGAUUAAAAUCUUUGCGGAAGGCUCCUGUUCGAUUCAGGAUCGGGCCG